CGUGUGAGUAACACGUGAGUAACCUGCCCUUGACUCUGGGAUAAGCCCGGGAAACUGGGUCUAAUACCGGAUAGGAGCGCCUGUCGCAUGACGGGUGUUGGAAAGAUUUUUCGGUCAUGGAUGGACUCGCGGCCUAUCAGCUUGUUGGUGAGGUAAUGGCUCACCAAGGCGACGACGGGUAGCCGGCCUGAGAGGGUGACCGGCCACACUGGGACUGAGACACGGCCCAGACUCCUACGGGAGGCAGCAGUGGGGAAUAUUGCACAAUGGGCGGAAGCCUGAUGCAGCGACGCCGCGUGAGGGAUGACGGCCUUCGGGUUGUAAACCUCUUUUCAGUAGGGAAGA
rnacentral:rRNA from 1 species